rnacentral:lncRNA from 1 species
UAUACAAAAGUGUUUAUUGCAGUUCAUUGUUUGCUUCAUAUCCGAGGCGCGCAGCCCCACGUCUGUACGCUUAGACCGUUGAAGUCCCCUCUGAGUCAGUCCCUCCCCUGCACCAGUUUAAGAGCCUUGCGCUGCUCCACCUCUUUCUCUCUUUCCUUUUCCUCAGGGUCUUCCUGCCCGCUGGGGAGAACCCCCUCCUGGAUUCCCCUGACGCGCUAUCCCCCGACUGCUCUUCCCCCCUCCUGCGGGCUUUAGGACCUGGCUCUUCCUCCGGGCUCCCUGUACUUCCGCGCGCCUCUACAUUUGAACUUGGCGCGCGCGCCCAACCUCUAACUUUCCUUUUGACAGUUACACUACUCCCUUCACUACUCCCCUCCCCUCCGGGAGGGUGGCUUGCUCCGACCUCCCUCCCUUCUCUGCUGCCGGAGCUGCUUCCCCUGAUACACUGGAACCUCCACCCCCUUCGCUGCACUCUGGCGGGGAGGCUGGUCCUGACGCCCAGCUGCCACUUUGGGAUCCCCCGCUGGCCCCCUGUUCCUGACACGUCCCCCCUGGGGCUCCCCUGGCCUUGACCACUGGCGCCCCCUUCUGGGAAUCCUCUGAUUCGCUGGAAAGACUCAUGGAAUCUCUUGAGUCAUUGUCAUCCUCUUCCUCGCUGUCCUGGG